ensembl:lncRNA
AGUAGGAGUAGUAGUAGUAGUAGUGGUAGUAGUAGGAGUAGGAGUGGUGGUAGUAGUAGUAGUGGUAGUAGUAGUGGUAGUAGUAGUAGUAGUGGUGGUAGUAGUAGUAGUAGUAGUAGUGGUAGUAGUAGUGGUAGUAGUAGUAGUAGUGGUAGUGGUAGUAGUAGUGGUAGUAGUAGUAGUAGUAGUAGUAGUAGUAGUAGUAGUGGUGGUAGUAGGAGUAGUAGUGGUGGUAUUAGUAGUAGGAGUAGUAGUGGUGGUAUUAGUAGUAGUAGUAGUAGUAGUAGUAGUAGUAGUAGUAGUAGUAGUAGUGGUAGUAGUAGUAGUAGUAGUAGUAGUAGUAGUGGUAGUAGUG